GCUGCGGAGAGAACAAGGGGAAGGGAGCUUUAAGAGGAGUGGGUAGUCCACAUGGCUGUACCAUCUGGAAGGGUCUGCAAACAAGAAUCACCUGCUACCCAGAAUAGCCUCCGAAAGUGUAGCAACCCCUGAGGACCCUGGACCCACAGGAGGGUGCUUGGCACUGACCAUAGCAUCUGCGAAUGGGCCAGGAGCAAGUCUGCCACCCACUGUGAAGAUCGACAGAGGACACACGAGGCAGUAGCCCCACAUAUGGAGGAAGCUCCAGGACUAUGCCUCCAACCAGUGAAAAGUAAUGGAUGUUCCUUGUGACUGUGAUCCCACCCACUGGGUGUAAGUGCUGCCAACACUUCAUUUAGGACAGCCCUUUUCCCUUGUGCACAUAAUAGACACCAUUUAUUCCUGGUGAGUAUAGUGUCUGGCACUGUGCUCUGUAACAGCAAGGUCCCGUUCCACACUGAUCCGCCCAGGAGAUGGGCACCUCCUAUGUCCAUGUGUUCAAGAGAGGAGAGGCAAACUCAGAAUGGGUCAGAGCUGAGGCUCCAAGUCCUAUAGGGAUGCACACAUGUGCACUGUGCACAGGGGCCACUGUAUGAAUGUAGGAAGCACCAAUGAAGGAAAAAUGAAGGGCGGGCUGAAACCAUAGGAGGAAGCACUUUAAAACUCCCAGCAAGGCUCUAGCUCCAACUGAAAAAACUAAUCGUUCAAUGAUUAUUAAGAAUUUAAGAGUUCACAUUCCGCUGGCCCUGGUGGCACAGGGCCUGUCAUUCUAGCCACUGGGGAGGCCAAGGGGAGGAUUUCAGUUCAAAGUCUGCUGGUUAGAGUGUCACCAGGAACUGCAUACCAACUCCACUUCUCUGGCAGUUUCAAUGGAGGCUGCCAACUCUCUCCUAACCAUGGGAAAAGUGAAAGAUUUCCCAGAAUCCUAGCCAAUGGCCUUGAUGCUUCCGGCCCACUUUAGGGUAGAGGUGGAGCUGUCUAGAGCCAGAUAAAAGGCAGUGGCCAGAAUACUGAAAACCUACACCUGUUUCUGCAGGGCAAGGGGGUGGCAGUAUCUGCAGGGCAAGGGGUUGACAGUGGCUUCUCUAGGUGCCCAAAGUACAUGAAAACCCCUCCCCCAGCUAUUAGAAGUACAAAAGGGCUUAAGAGCGCUUCCCUAGAGGGAAGCAGAAAAGACAAUCCAGAAAAUCCUGCUGUGAUUUUUUUCCCCUCUUUCUCCCAGUGACCAAAGUCCACCACAGAUAAGCAGGCCAAGUUUUUCCGUCUCCAGAGGUUUAUUGGCCAAUCAGCCCCAGCCUUCUCAGAUGCCUGGAGGCCUCAUUCCUUUCCUCACACCCCCCCACCACCACCACCACAGUGACCCCCCUCUUCUAACCUUUAUCUUACCCACUUCAGAUGACCUUCAAGUUCUGCAAGUCCAGCAAGCACACCUUCCCUUUCAGUCACAGGGAGCAGCGGGCAUCAGGACUCCCCAUCCCUGUAGAGGGUGUAUAUGCCACCCCCACCACCAUGGUCAUGGUGGUAGCCUGUCCUGUCCUCGCCAGUCCCACCUUGAGGACAGGACCCUUUCCAGACAUCACAACCUCACAAGUUUCACCCUGGUGUGACAUACAGAACAACUAAUCAGGUUGAAACCCACUUCUUCUGACACUCCUGAAGUUGUCUGUCACGGAGGAAGGGAGCAGCGUCUUGUUCGAAGGCUGCCUACAACUGGCAAUACUGCCCCCUCAGCUUCCUGAAUGCUGGGAUUUCAAGUCAGUGCUGCCACACCUGGCUACCACAUCACUUUUUUUAAAAAAGUCUAUUCUUCUCUGUGAACCCCAUGAAGGCUGAGGUUCAGACCCCAUGAAGCAUUGUUCUGAUGAAAGGAAUCCUUGCUUUAUUUUAUCUGGGGCACUGGGACUCGAACCAGAACCUUACACUAUACAAACUCUACCACUGAGCUCUGCCCCUCAGACCAUUUACUACUGUUUUAUUUUGUUUUGUUAGAUAGGAUCUCAUGUACCCCACAGAUUGACCUCAAACUCAUGUUAUAGCUAAGUAUGACCUUAAAAUCUUUAUUCUCCUGUCUCUACACUCAAGUACUAAAAUGACAGGUAUUUGUGGCCUUGCAUGGCUAGUUGUUGCUGUUGAGACAGGGUUUUUCUGUGUAACCCUGGCUGUCCUGGAACUCACUCUGACUGACCUUGAACUCGGAGAUCUA